rnacentral:rRNA from 1 species
AUUGAACGCUGGCGGCAGGCCUAACACAUGCAAGUCGAGCGAGUGGCGGACGGGUGAGUAAUGUCUGGGAAACUGCCUGAUGGAGGGGGAUAACUACUGGAAACGGUAGCUAAUACCGCAUACCAUCAGAUGUGCCCAGAUGUGAUGAGCUAGUAGGUGGGGUAAUGGCUCACCUAGGCGACGAUCCCUAGCUGGUCUGAGAGGAUGACCAGCCAAACUGUAACUGAGACACGGUCCAGACUCCUACGGGAGGCAGCAGUGGGGAAUAUUGCACAAUGGGCGCAAGCCUGAUGCAGCCAUGCCGCGUGUGUGAUGAAGGCCUUCGGGUUGUAAAGUACUUUCAGCGAGGAGGCGUUACUCGCAGAAGAAGCACCGGCUAACUCCGUGCCAGCCGCCGCGGUAAUUC